AAACCCCUCUUCCUUUUCCCGAUUCCCUUCUCUGUUCUUUGCGUCCCCGAUCCUCGCCACCGGUGAUUCUUCUCCUCUUCCCCCUCUCGGCGUUGCCGGCGCAGAUCAACUACCUGAGUGUUGAGGAGGGAAGCUAUAACCGUUCCUCUCUUCUUCCUCUCUCUCUCUCUCUCUCUCUCUCUCUCUCUCUCAGAUGACCCAACGCUGACGGAGGGUGAUUCUUCUCCGACGAUCUUGUUCUCUCCGCAUCGCCUGAGGUAUGUCGCCGGAUCGCGAAGGUAUUGAUGUUGUCCAAGCCAUCUCCGGUGGAGCGAUCGCUUCCUCGGUGGUUUCUUGCACACGAUCGACGAGAUCUGGCUCUAGGGCACCGCGAGGAGCCUUGACUCACGUCGUUCCCAGUCGAUCGAUUCUCUUCAUUCAUCCUCUUCAAUCUGUUUCUGGAGAGUGAUAUGUUGCUCCACAUCUGCUGGAUCGAAACGGGCGACACCACCUGGAAGCGAUUAAUCGAGGAGGAGGCGUUGGAUCAGUAUACUGUGGAUUUCCUCCGUGUCGAUCACUACUCUCUUCCUUUCUUGCGACUGUUGAGGUUUCGGUUGAAAAUUGGGGUUCGAUUGAGCUUCCGGGCAGAGGCUGGUAGGGCUGUGAGCUUGUGAUUCGUUGCUAUACCUCGAGGUAAGCAAUUUUCCAGUGAGGUAUUACUGUUAUUCCCAUUAGUAGGUUACUAAAUUAGGUUUUCUAAUGGGGAUAGAGUUUUGUUCUUGCUUAGAUCAAUUAGUAGUGGAUGGUUGUAUUUCUAAAUCCACAUUGAUACUAUAUUACCAUGUUAAAAAUCAGAUUAGGUGUUAGAUUGGAAACUAUGUGUAUGGAUAAGGAUUUAAAGGCGAAUCAUAUUUGAGCUUAAUCUAAUUGAUUAUGGAAAGUUAGGGUUAUUCUAUUUUGAGCAAUUAUGAAAGGAGAAGUAGCUUUAAUUUAAUUAAUAGAAGGGGGCAUUAAUUAGGGUUAGUUAAUGCGUUAAGGAUAGCUAUUUCUUUUGAUACACGAUUUAUACAUCAUAGUAUAUGUAUAUACUUUGAUACAUUGUAUGAUACAUGACCUUGAUCGAGUAUGAGCUGUGUGACGUGGGUGGUUCUGUUAGAUACAAGACGUAUUGAGGGGGGUAUUUCUUUCUUACUUCUUAUUUAGUUCUUUGAACUUAAAGCAUGGCUAUAUUUUUGGAUGUUAAGUUUCCUUUACCUUAAAUCUGUAAGUUUGCUUGUUUUCCUGCUUGUUACUUCUGCUUGAUCUUGGAUGUAAUCUAGUUUAAUUCGAUAUAGUCUUGACUCUUGUUAUCUGAACUCUGU